ACGGGUGAGUAAUGCUUAGGAAUCUGCCCAGUAGUGGGGGACAACAGUCGGAAACGGCUGCUAAUGCCGCAUACGCCCUACGGGGGAAAGCAGGGGAUCUUCGGACCUUGCGCUAUUGGAUGAGCCUAAGUCGGAUUAGCUAGUUGGUGGGGUAAAGGCCUACCAAGGCGACGAUCCGUAGCUGGUCUGAGAGGAUGAUCAGCCACAUCGGGACUGAGACACGGGCCGAACUCCUACUGUGAGGCAGCAGUGGGGGAAUAUUGGACAAUGGGGGCAAACCUGAUUCCAGACAUGCCGCGUGUGUGAA
rnacentral:rRNA from 1 species